rnacentral:rRNA from 1 species
GGACCCGCACAAGCAGCGGAGCAUGUGGUUUAAUUCGAAGCAACGCGAAGAACCUUACCAGGGCUUGACAUGCCACUGACCGGUCUAGAGAUAGGCCUUUACCUUCGGGUACAGUGGACACAGGUGGUGCAUGGUUGUCGUCAGCUCGUGUCGUGAGAUGUUGGGUUAAGUCCCGCAACGAGCGCAACCCUUGCCUUUAGUUGCAAACAGUUAGGCUGUGCACUCUAGAGGGACUGCCGAUGAUAAAUCGGAGGAAGGUGGGGAUGACGUCAAAUCAUCAUGCCCUUUAUGUCCUGGGCUACACACGUGCUACAAUGGUCGGUACAACGAGCAGCUACACAGCGAUGUGAUGCAAAUCUCUUAAAGCCGAUCCCAGUUCGGAUUGUAGGCUGCAACUCGCCUACAUGAAGUUGGAGUUGCUAGUAAUCGCGAAUCAGAAUGUCGCGGUGAAUGCGUUCCCGGGUCUU